CCGAGUUUACAACUCCCAAACCCCUGUGAACAUACCUAUUGUUGCCUCGGCGGUGCCUGUUCCGACAGCCCGCCAGAGGACCCCAAACCCUGAUUACAUUAAAGAAUUCUUCUGAGUAACCGAUUAAAUAAAUCA
rnacentral:misc_RNA from 1 species